rnacentral:rRNA from 1 species
UACGGGGGGAGCAAGCGUUGUUCGGAUUUACUGGGCGUAAAGGGCGCGUAGGCGGCGCGGUAAGUCACUUGUGAAAUCUCUGAGCUUAACUCAGAACGGCCAAGUGAUACUGCAGUGCCAGAGUGCAGAAGGGGCAAUCGGAAUUCUUGGUGUAGCGGUGAAAUGCGUAGAUAUCAAGAGGAACACCUGAGGUGAAGACGGGUUGCUGGGCUGACACUGACGCUGAGGCGCGAAAGCCAGGGGAGCAAACGGG